rnacentral:tRNA from 1 species
AAAAAUUUAGUUUAAUUAAAAACAUUAAUUUGUCAAAUUAAAGUUAUAUAAAUAUAAUUUUUG